GCCGAGGUCGCAUAACCAGGUAGUGCACCAGUCUCGAAAACUGGCGGGCGAAAGCCCAUGAGGGUUCAAAUCCCUCCCUCGGCG
rnacentral:tRNA from 1 species